rfam:Rhodospirillales bacterium 47_12_T64 BD02T64_scaffold_3168, whole genome shotgun sequence.
UUAGGGUUGCCAAAUAGUUGGCACCCGAUCUGUGUUUUUGAGGAGAGCGUAGUGGCUCGUAUUGCUGGCGUCAACAUCCCGACG